UCCAUGUGAGCAUAGAGAUCCUAAGGAUCCAGAUUCUUAUAAAACCCAAAUCUUAUCCCUUAUGUAAAAUGACCGACUUUUUUUUUUUAGUUGUGCAUACUUUAUUAGAAUUAUCACUACUUUUUGGUGCUGGGUUUCUGAUGAGGAUCCCACUCUCCGCUUAAUUACCAGCUUACUCUUAUCCCACCACUUAAAACUGGACCUAUUCUUCCUCUCUCAUUCCUCUCUCUCUCUCUCUCUCUCUCUCUCUCUCUCUCUCUCUCCAAUCAUAUAUAUUAAGACCACACUAGUACUCUCUCUCUCUUAUUCCAUAUCUUGUUGUUUUCUCUCAUCAGAAAACUUAUUCCUGCGAUUUGGUUAAUUGGGAUGAGAGAACUGGUAACUAGUUAGCCAGCUUUCUACAGACAUGAGAAGAAGACUUCAUCCUUGCCCUGCAAGCAGAUGUUGGACCAAAAAAGGCUCUGCAGGAAAUGGGCUCGGAGAUGCUCACCGUCAAUGCUACCAUUCCAGCUACAACGCCAAUCUUGAAACCCUUUGCAAGAUAGUGACCAGUGAAAAAUAUUUCAUCUACAGAUGGAGGAUUGAUUCCUUUUUCAAUAUGUCUCACCUACAUGCAUAGAGAAACCGUAAGUACUCUUUCUUGUAACUGAAAUCAACGUUCUUCUGAAGUACCAUUUAUAAUACAGGGGACUUACAAUUGCAACCCCAUCCUUUUCUGCA